GUGCUCGCUUCGGCAGCGCAUAUACUAAAAUUGGAAAGAUACAGAGAUUAGCGUGGCCCCUGCACAAGGAUGACAUGCAAAUUCGUAAAGCGUUCCAUGUUUUC